UGGGGAGUAUUGCGCAAUGGGCGAAAGCCUGACGCAGCCACGCCGCGUGAGUGAUGAAGGCCUUCGGGUUGUAAAGCUCUGUCGCAGGGGAAGAAAAAAUGACGGUACCCUGCAAGAAAGCACCGGCUAACUCUGUGCCAGCAGCCGCGGUAAUACAGAGGGUGCAAGCGUUGCUCGGAUUUACUGGGCGUAAAGCGUGCGCAGACGGUUUGGUAAGUGGGACGUGAAAGCCUGGGGCUCAACCCCAGAAUUGCGUUCCAGACUGCCCGACUCGAGUAUGAGAGAGGAAAGUGGAAUUCCUGGUGUAGAGGUGAAAUUCGUAGAUAUCAGGAGGAACACCAGCGGCGAAGGCGGCUUUCUGGCUCAUUACUGACGUUCAGGCACGAAAGCGUGGGGAGCAAACAGGAUUAGAUACCCUUGUAGUCCCUGAGCGGGCUGGCAAGGCGCAU
rnacentral:rRNA from 1 species